rfam:Equus caballus cont2.34181, whole genome shotgun sequence.
CUUCCCGGCUGCCUCACAAGGAUAUCCAUGGCAACAGUGAUUCAUUCUGGCUCACUGGUGAACCCACUGGGCAGGAAGCCUCAAUAUAAGUGACAGGUAGUCUUAGUGUUGCUCUUGACCAACGACAAGGUUUCUGGCUGCCCAAG